rnacentral:rRNA from 1 species
AUUGAACGCUGGCGGCAGGCCUAACACAUGCAAGUCGAACGAGUGGCGGACGGGUGAGUAAUGUCUGGGAAACUGCCUGAUGGAGGGGGAUAACUACUGGAAACGGUAGCUAAUACCGCAUACCCUCGGAUGUGCCCAGAUGGGAUUAGCUAGUAGGUGGGGUAAAGGCUCACCUAGGCGACGAUCCCUAGCUGGUCUGAGAGGAGUACCAGGAACGCUGGAACUGAGACGCGGACGAGACCCCUCUGGGAGGCAGCAGUGGGGAAUAUUGCACAAUGGGCGCAAGCCUGAUGCAGCCAUGCCGCGUGUAUGAAGAAGGCCUUCGGGUUGUAAAGUACUUGCAGCGGUGAGGCGUUACCCGCAGAAGAAGCACCGGCUAACUCCGUGCCAGCAGCCGCGGUAAUAC